AGACCGCUUGCAUGUGUGCAUCUU
rnacentral:siRNA from 1 species